GGGUGCGAUCAUACCAGCGUUAAUGCACCUGAUCCCAUCAGAACUCCGCAAUUAAGCAUGCUUGGGCUAGAGUAGUACUGGGAUGGGUGACCUCCUGGGAAGUCCUAGUGUUGCACCCU
rnacentral:rRNA from 1 species